rnacentral:rRNA from 1 species
AGUGAACGCUGGCGGUAGGCCUAACACAUGCAAGUCGAACGGCAGCACAGUAAGCGCUUGCUCCUACGGUUGGCGAGUGGCGGACGGGUGAGGAAUACAUCGGCAUCUACUUUUUCGGGGGUGACAACGUAGGAAAACUGACGCUAAUACCGCAUACGACCUACGGCUGAAAGCAGGGGAUAUUCGGGCCUUGCGCGAUUGAAUGAGCCGAUGUCGGAUUAGCUAGUUGGCUGGGUAAAGGCCCACCAAGGCGACGAUCCGUAGCUGGUCUGAGAGGAUGAUCAGCCACACUGGAACUGAGACACGGUCCAGACUCCUACGGGAGGCAGCAGUGGGGAAUAUUGGACAAUGGGCGCAAGCCUGAUCCAGCCAUACCGCGUGGGUGAAGAAGGCCUUCGGGUUGUAAAGCCCUUUUGUUGGGAAAGAAAAGCAGCAGGUUAAUACCCCGCUGUUCUGACGGUACCCAAAGAAUAAGCACCGGCUAACUUCGUG